rnacentral:rRNA from 1 species
CGCGCAGGCGGCUAUCCAAGUCAGUGGUGAAAGCCCGGAGCUCAACUCCGGAACUGCCAUUGAAACUGUUUAGCUUGAGGACGAGAGAGGUGAGUGGAAUUCCCAGUGUAGAGGUGAAAUUCGUAGAUAUUGGGAAGAACACCGGUGGCGAAGGCGGCUCACUGGCUCGUAUCUGACGCUCAGGCGCGACAGCGUGGGGAUCAAACA